rnacentral:rRNA from 1 species
AGUGGCGAACGGGUGAGUAACGCGUGAGGAACCUGCCUCAAAGAGGGGGACAACAGUUGGAAACGACUGCUAAUACCGCAUAAGCCCACAGCUCGGCAUCGAGCAGAGGGAAAAGGAGCAAUCCGCUUUGAGAUGGCCUCGCGUCCGAUUAGCUAGUUGGUGAGGUAACGGCCCACCAAGGCAACGAUCGGUAGCCGGACUGAGAGGUUGAACGGCCACAUUGGGACUGAGACACGGCCCAGACUCCUACGGGAGGCAGCAGUGGGGAAUAUUGCACAAUGGGGGAAACCCUGAUGCAGCGACGCCGCGUGGAGGAAGAAGGUCUUCGGAUUGUAAACUCCUGUUGUUGAGGAAGAUAAUGGCGGUACUCAACAAGGAAGUGACGGCUAACUACGUGCCAGCAGCCGCGGUAAAACGUAGGUCACAAGCGUUGUCCGGAAUUACUGGGUGUAAAGGGAGCGCAGGCGGGAGAACAAGUUGGAAGUGAAAUCCAUGGGCUCAACCCAUGAACUGCUUUCAAAACUGUUUUUCUUGAGUAGUGCAGAGGUAGGCGGAAUUCCCGGUGUAGCGGUGGAAUGCGUAGAUAUCGGG